UGCCCCAGUAACGGCGAGUGAAGCGGCAACAGCUCAAAUUUGAAAUCUGGUCCCUAGGGCCCGAGUUGUAAUUUGUAGAGGAUGCUUUUGGUGAGGUGCCGCCCGAGUUCCCUGGAACGGGACGCCACAGAGGGUGAGAGCCCCGUCUGGCUGGCCGCCGAGCCUCUGUAAAGCUCCUUCGACGAGUCGAGUAGUUUGGGAAUGCUGCUCAAAAUGGGAGGUAUAUGUCUUCUAAAGCUAAAUAUUGGCCAGAGACCGAUAGCGCACAAGUAGAGUGAUCGAAAGAUGAAAAGCACCUUGAAAAGAGGGUUAAAUAGUACGUGAAAUUGUUGAAAGGGAAGCGCUUGUGACCAGACUUGGGCGCGGCGGAUCAUCCGGGGUUCUCUCCGGUGCACUUCGCCGCGUCUAGGCCAGCAUCAGUUCGUCGCGGGGGAAAAAGGCUUCGGGAACGUGGCUCCUCCGGGAGUGUUAUAGCCCGUUGCAUAAUACCCUGCGGUGGACUGAGGACCGCGCAUCUGCAAGGAUGCUGGCGUAAUGGUCACCAGCGACCCGUCUUGAAAACACG
rnacentral:rRNA from 1 species